AAGACUAUAUUUUCAGGGAUCGUUUUUUUGGUUGGUGACUUGAGAAAUGUGUUUCUAAAGAGUUUGGUCUCGCUGUCCAUGAUAAAGAGUUCAGAUGUUUCAUUCAGAGACGGAAACUCGUAAAAAGAAUCAGUUUCUUCCCUGCUGUUAAAGACUGUUCAGAGUUUCUUAAAGUCUCUCUGAUAGGGGAAACGUGAUCUGAGUGGG